GACAGCAGCAGCCGCGGUAAUACGAAGGGGGCUAGCGUUGCUCGGAAUUACUGGGCGUAAAGGGCGCGUAGGCGGACAGUUCAGUCGGGGGUGAAGGCCCGGGGCUCAACCUCGGAAUUGCCUUCGAUACUGGCUGUCUUGAGUAUGAGAGAGGUGUGUGGAACUCCGAGCGUAGAGGUGAAAUUCGUAGAUAUUCGGAAGAACACCAGUGGCGAAGGCGACACACUGGCUCAUUACUGACGCUGAGGCGCGAAAGCGUAGGGAGCAAACAGGAUUAGAUACCCGGGUAGUCCCUGUCUCUUAUAC
rnacentral:rRNA from 1 species